UGGCAACCGCGACCGGCUGUCCGACCUCCCCGAGACCCCGACUACCUCCUCCGGUGCAUCCUCCACUUCGCCCCAGCCAAGGAGGCCACCUCCACGACCGCGCUCUCGCGGCGCUGGCAAACGCCGCUCUGGCGCUCCUCUGGCGCCGUAAACCUCGAGACGCGCGUCGAGGACUACGAGUACCGCGACCGCUACGGCGGUUAUCGUGAAGAAGACAAGGCCAUCUUCUUCUCCCGCCGCGACGCCUUCCUCUCUGCGGCCGUGGCGGCGCUCGACGGCGCCCAGCACGUCACGAGGCUCACCUUGCGCCUCGAGUCCGAGCGCGAGCGCGACAAACCGGAAGUCAUCGACGUCGCGCCGGCGCUCACAGUGGUCCGCCUCGAGUCCGUCCUUAUCAAAGUGACAGACGACGCGACUUCACAAUGCGACGCCGCCCGGGAUUGGGGCUACGACGGUCUCCCGGCUCCCAAACAGGCCGCACGCUGCCGCCUCCGAUGCCCAGCGGCCACUGUGCUCGCGCUCGAGGACUGCAAGUGGGAGGAGGAUGAGAACCUGAGGCGCCGCCGUCACCACGGAUACUACGACGAUGACAAGACCACGCCCCUCAUCGCGGUGGAGAUCGACUCACCGAGGCUGCGUCGCUUCCGGUACAUGGGGCUUCUCCGGCCAUUCACAUUCAGUCCACGGCCGCCGGAGUUGGAACAAGUGGACCUGCAUUUUUUCACGGAAAAAAAGAGGAACAUGGAUCCAUGCGGCAACCUUGAAACCUUCUGGCGAUUCGUUGGGAGCUUCACCAGCACCAAGAAGAUGAAACUACGGCUGAACCACCUUGAGGAUGUGGCCGUGCUCAACGAGGCGAGGCGGGUCGAGCUCCUGCCGGCCUUCCGCCGCCUUGAGUGCCUCGAGCUGGAAGGGGUGCGCAGGGGGAGAGGCAAGACAGCGGCGGCAGCCAUCGCAAGCCUUCUCCGCUGUAGCAACGCACUCCAUGACCUCAGGAUCAACCUCACCACGGAGCACGAGGACGCCUACAAACAAGAACGGUACAUUACUGAAUUCUUGGAAUGGAAAUUUCGACACGACCGCGACAAGUCCAUGGAUCGUUUCGACUGUUGUGAGUUGUGA
rnacentral:rRNA from 1 species